rnacentral:rRNA from 1 species
GACGAACGCUGGCGGCGUGGUUAACACAUGCCAGUCGAACGGAAAGGCCCUGCUUUUGUGGGGUGCUCGAGUGGCGAACGGGUGAGUAACACGUGAGUAACCUGCCCUUGACUUUGGGAUAACUUCAGGAAACUGGGGCUAAUACCGGAUAGGAGCUCCUGCUGCAUGGUGGGGGUUGGAAAGUUUCGGCGGUUGGGGAUGGACUCGCGGCUUAUCAGCUUGUUGGUGGGGUAGUGGCUUACCAAGGCUUUGACGGGUAGCCGGCCUGAGAGGGUGACCGGCCACAUUGGGACUGAGAUACGGCCCAGACUCCUACGGGAGGCAGCAGUGGGGAAUAUUGCACAAUGGGCGGAAGCCUGAUGCAGCAACGCCGCGUGCGGGAUGACGGCCUUCGGGUUGUAAACCGCUUUCGCCUGUGACGAAGCGUGAGUGACGGUAAUGGGUAAAGAAGCACCGGCUAACUACGUG